GGAGUGGGGUGGAGUGGAGAGGAGUGGAGUGGAGUGGAGUAAAAUCGAGUGGAAUGGAAUGGAAUGGAGGGGAAUGGAAUGGAAUGGAAUGUAGUGGAGUGGAAUGGAAUGGAGUGGAGGGGAGUCUAGUGGAAUGGAGUGGAGUGCAGUGGAGUGGAAUGGAAUGGAAUGGAAUUAAAUGGAAUGGAACGGACUGGAGUGGAGUGGAGUGGACUGGAAUGGAAUGGAAUGGACUCAAAUGGAAAGGAAUGAACUUGAAUGGAAUGGAAUGGACUCGAAUGGAAUCAUCAAUGAAUGGACUCGAAUG
rnacentral:lncRNA from 1 species